UGUGCCUACGGGGGGCAGCAGUGGGGAAUAUUGCACAAUGGGGGAAACCCUGAUGCAGCGACGCCGCGUGAGCGAAGAAGGUUUUCGGAUUGUAAACUAUUGUCGUUAGGGAAGAGAAAGGACAGUACCUAAGGAGGAAGCUCCGGCUAACUACGUGCCAGCAGCCGCGGUAAUACGUAGGGAGCGAGCGUUAUCCGGAAUUAUUGGGUGUAAAGGGUGCGUAGACGGGAAAGCAAGUUAGUUGUGAAAUCCCUCGGCUUAACUGAGGAACUGCAACUAAAACUACUUUUCUUGAGUGCAGGAGA
rnacentral:rRNA from 1 species